rnacentral:lncRNA from 1 species
UAUUUCUCCGUUAGGUCUCCGGCGACCAGCCCGACCCCUCAGAGACGGGCCCCUCCUCCAGGGCCUCCGGCACGCCCAGGUUCUCGUGGCUCGGCCCCGGGGCCUCCUGCUGCCGGCGGGCCACCCGUUCCCUCUCGCCCGGGAGCCUCUCCGGACCCCUUCGGCGUGCCCCCACCUCAGGUCCCAUCCCGGCCUAACCGUGCACCUCCCAGCGUGCCCAGGUGAGACUCGAUUAUAUCAGACAGUAGAAACUGCUAAUUAAAUAACAUAUUUGUGCUGGAAAACAAUCAUAAUGCACUCAGAUUGAGGCAUAAAUAUGUGUAAUUGGCACCCCCCGGUUCUCGUGGCUCGGCCCCGGGGCCCCCUGCUGCCGGCGGGCCCCCCGUUCCCUCUCGCCCGGGAGCCUCUCCAGACCCCUUCGGCGUGCCCCCACCUCAGGUCCCAUCCCGGCCUAACCGUGCACCUCCCAGCGUGCCCAGCCGCGGAAUGUGAGACUAACCGCUGGAGUAAAUGCAGUGGUGUGGGUGAGUUAACCGGUCACCAUACCAACGUUUAAACCAUAAGCAACCAUCACCGAAAGUCAUCAGAUCAGAUUCAGAUGUCCACAGUCUGGCGUCCUGCUUCUAACUCUUAUUAUCGUUCAAACGUUACAGAUUUAAACCAUAUUAGAUGCACAGUGUGUUCUCAGUAGGGCUGGGUGAUAUAACAAAUAUUCACAAUGAGUUUAACACUGAACAAAUAGGAAAAAUUGUCACAAUAUUCACAAAGAUCGGAUCAUUAGACUAGGUUCAGGAUUCUUACUUUUCUCGUGACAGAAAUCUCUGCGUGGCAUUUUUCAUAUAUUACUAUGUUUUAGCAUAAAUACACUACCAAGGGCAAGUUUAUGAAAGUCUCUUCUGCUCAUCAAGGCUGCAUUUAUU